AAAUGACCGAACCGAAGAGCUGGUCAGUGGAUGAAAGCCAGCCGCGCAGGAAGUGUAAGACGCUCCCCACGUCAGCCGGGCCUGCCCUAUUGU
rnacentral:sRNA from 1 species